rnacentral:rRNA from 1 species
GAUGAACGCUAGCGGCAGGCCUAAUACAUGCAAGUCGAACGAGAUUAAGAGGCUUGCUUCUUAUGAAAGUGGCGCACGGGUGCGUAACGCGUAUGCAACCUCCCUUAAUCAGGGGGAUAGCCCGAAGAAAUUCGGAUUAAGACCGCAUAAAAACACAGGAUAGCAUUAUCCAAUGUUCAAAUAUUUAUAGGAUUAAGAUAGGCAUGCGUGUCAUUAGCUAGUUGGCGGGGUAACGGCCCACCAAGGCGACGAUGACUAGGGGAUCUGAGAGGAUGACCCCCCAAACUGGUACUGAGACACGGACCAGACUCCUACGGCAGGCAGCAGUAAGGAAUAGUGGUCAAUGGAGGGAACUCUGAACCAGCCAUGCCGCGUGCAGGAAGACAGCCCUCUGGGUCGUAAACUGCUUUUAUUCGGGAAUAAACCUUUCUACGUGUAGGAAGCUGAAUGUACCGAAGGAAUAAGGAACGGCUAACUCCGUG